rnacentral:tRNA from 1 species
GGAAACGUAUCGAAGUGGUCAUAACGGCCCCGACUCGAAAUCGGGUAAGCCCCUAACAGGGUCCGUGGGUUCGAAUCCCACCGUUUCCGCCA